CAGCGCUAUAGAGUUACAGCUGAACAGACCGUCUGCGAUGCACUUUUAAAAGUAGUUAUAUUAGUAAUCUACUGUAGAAGCUCAGUGAUGUCACAGGACUGAUAUGUGAUGGAGCAUAAGGGUUGAAGCCGGUCAGCAGUGCUGAAGGGACCAUGGUGAAAUUGAAAACAUAACAAGAGUGCUGCAGGAAGAGGAUGGUACAGGUCAGGACUCAGGAGUGGUGAUGACCAAUGAUGUUACAGGUGGAGGGUCAGAUAUGUUGGCUGGUUGCUGGAAGAGGAUACACUUCUCAGUUUUUGUGAGGAAGUCUGCCAAAAAGCUACUGUCGUCUUCCUGGUAGCUUCCAGCACCUGCUCUCAGUCUUGUCUUGACCUUUUUGUUCCUGACAAACUGGUCUGCCUCAAAAUGUGCCUGCAGACACUGUCUUAGGUGUCUUACAUUACAGGCAUUGCCGUUUAUUGCUCUGUCCAAAUCUGUAGUCCUCGUGCCUCCUGCAGCAGGUCUUUGGUAUGCUCACACAGUGUCUUAAGGACUGUUCCACAGGUGCAUGUGCAAUAAUUGUUUAUGGUUCGUUAAACAAGCAUGAAAAACAUUGUUUAAAAAGCAGGGAAGCCAUACAUUCGCACUCCUUUCUCAGAACGAUUGGAGCAUCUCCAUGCAGCACAGCAAACCAGGGUGGAGACUAUACAAGGACAUCGUGGAGAAAAGGACACAGACAACAAUUCAUUUUAUUAGAAAUUUAUUUAUAAAUGCAUUGCUAUAAGUAUGUGCAUAGCAAAAGUCAAAACACACAAUCAGAUUUUUUAAUUGAAUAUAUUCAUCUUUUUAAUUA